AGUGACUGCCCAAUCUUUAGUGUGUUUUGCUGACUCCUGGCGCUCUGGCUUUUCCAUAAGAGGCGUUUUUGCACGAUUGCAGACAGGAAUAAAAAUGAGCUCUGCCUACUGGGCCGUCCUGGUUAGCAAGGUCUACACCACCUCAAAGGCAGCUAUGGACUAAGAGCCCACAAAGAAUCUCGGGUUAUGAGGGAGGGGCUGGCCGUGGAGACGGCUAAAGCGCCUCAUUUGUCUUCCCAGCAGGGAAGCGAUGGGACCUCGGCGGGCAGGGAACGCGAUCUCCACCCGUCUGGAAAACUCUCUGAGUUCUGGAGCACUGUUCGCGGCCGGACUGAGUGGCAUGUCCGCAUUUUCCCCAUUCCAGGGUAGGGCAGACUGAGGUAGGAGAGCAGAGCCCCGAGGCCGACUCCCCGGGAAAAAAAAAAAAAGGAAAAAAGGCUCCCGCCGACCUGUGAUUCACAGGAGCAAGAGGCUGGAAGGACCGCGCCUCCUGAUUGGAGCAGACAGAAUCAGACAAGCUUGGGGGCCGCUGAUUGGCUCCGGCGUGGUCAGGCGCUGGUGGGCUGUUGUAGGUGUAAAUAGCUCUUGAAGGCCCGGGUCUGUGACCGGCAGUAACCCCGGCGAGAGUGGGUGGAGAGGGAGGCGCUUCCUCUCCAUUCAUGUCAGCUGCCAGCCAGGCCCGGGCAGGCCGGCCCUUUAGCGGAGGGGACUGGGCAGGACGAGGCGAUGGGUGUCUUCGGAGAUCUUAAGCUGGGCUGAAAGUUAAACACUCACCCGCAGGGCUGAGCCAGAGCUGGCACCUUCCACACCGAGCCCCUUCCUAUCUGUGACUGUUGAAAAGUUUAAUGUGAUGUUCUGGGUGAGGACCGAGGCGUUGGAGGUCGCUAGGAGGGUAGUUUUACGGAGUCGCGUUAAUGGCUGUAGUGGGUGUACCUUAGUGACCACAGGGAGGUGGCAGCCUGUCCUCUCCUCCUCCUGGUCACCGUAUUCUAUUUGCGGAAAAGGUAAGAAUGGAGGCUUGGAUAGUCUUUCUACUAGAGAUGCAACUUCUCCCACCCUCUACUCCAGGGGAAAGAGAAGUCUGUGGGGAACUGGCUUUGUAAAAAGUAGGAAAGAGGAAAGGGACAAAUGGGUACACGUUAAGAAGAGGGUGACUCUCAUACAUUGCUGGAGAAAAUUUAAAGUGGUGCAGCCACUGGGGAAACAGUUUGAUGGUGCCACAAAAGGUUAAAUAUCAAAUUAGCAUCUGGCCCAGCAACUCCACUCCUAGAUAUAAACCCUAAUAAAUUAUAAACGGGUACUCAUAUUUGCACUCAAAUGUUCAUGGCAGUGCUAUUCACAAUAACCAAAAGGUGGAAGCAACUCCAGUGUUCAUCAAUUGAUAAAUCAGUAAACCAACUGUGGUGUAUUCAUACAAUGGAAUAUGAAUAGGUAAUAAACAGGAAUGAAGUACUGAUAUAUGCUCCAAUGGGGAUGAACAUUGAAAGAUUAUGCCAAGAGAAGGAAGCCAGACACAGAAGGUCAUAUAUUGUACGAUUCCAUGUAUAGGAAAUAUCCUGAAGUGGUAAAUCCACAGAGACAGAAAGCAGACUGAUGGUCACCAGGGGCCGAGUGUGGGUGGGAAGAUGGGGAAUCACUGUUGAAUGGGUUCAAGUUUUCUUUUGGGGUGAAAAUGUUUUAGAACAAAAGGUAGUGUUUGCACAAUGUUAUGAAUGCACUAAGUGCCACAGAACUGGUCAAUUUAAAAUGGUUAGUUCGGCCUGGCACGGUGGCUCACACCUGUAAUCCCAGCACUUUGAGAGGGUGGGGCGGGCGGAUCACCUGAGGUCAGGAGUU
rnacentral:lncRNA from 1 species